GUUUAAAGACAAGAAGUUGACCAUUAAUCAUAUUGUCCCCUUGUAUGUGAUGAUUUGUUUUUCUCUUACUAGAUUUAAGAUUUUCUCUUGUCUUUGGUUUGGCUUCCAGUGGUUUGACCAUGAUGUGUCCAGGUGUGAAUGUCUUUGUAUUUAUUCUACUUAGAGUUUCUUGAGCUUCUGGAGUUUGUGAAAUGAUUUUUUAAAGUCAAAACUGGGGAAUUUUCAUCCAUUAUGUCAUUAAACAUUUUUCUUUCAUUUUUCUGGAGUCCCCUUCUGGGAUUCCAAUUACAUGUAUGUUGGUAUGCUUCAUGUUAUCCCACCAGUCUCUGAGGCACUGUGUAUUUUUCUUCUAUCUUUUCCUCUCUUUUUUCCACACUGAGUAAUUUCUAAUGAUCUAUCUUCAAUUUCACUGACUCUUCUGUGACCUCCUCUAGUACUUUUAUUUUUGCUAUUAUUUAUUGCAACUCAGAAUUUCCACUGGGUUCUUUUUUAAAAAAUAAUUUCUGCAUUUUAAGUGAGAUCAUCUAUUUGUUGAAUCAUUGUCAUUACACUGAUUUAGUCAUUCUUAAGCAUGGUUUUCUUUAGUUCUUUGAACAUAUUUAUAAUAGCUGCUUUGAAAUCUUUGUCCAAUAAUCUAAUUUCUGGAACCACUCAUAGUAUAUAUUUGCUUUUUUUUCCUGAGUAUGGGUCAGAUUUUGUUUCUUCAUGUCUCAUAACGUUUUUUGAAAACUUGACAUUUUAGAUAAUAUACUCUAGCAACUCUGGACUCUGAUUUCUUUUCCUGAGGCAGUUAUUAUUGUCUUUAUUUGCUUUCCCAGAGGUAAUCUGCAGAAUCUUUGCCUCCUGCAGUACAUGGCCACUAAUGUCUCUGCUCAGCUUUUUUGUUUUUAAGUCUUGUGUUUAACUUUCAGCCUGGCCUUCUAAGAGUAGUCCCUGUAGCUUAGUUUAGUGGUCAGCCAAUGAUUGGGCAGAGGCUGUGCUCAAACACCUUAAGCCUACAAGAUCCAUCCUCUGCUAAUGGAUCUGUGUGUGGGAUGAAGAAUACAUUUAAAGUUCACUCUGUUUUCAAGUCUGCCUAACUUUUACUUUUGUCAAGGCACUCGUGGCUUUCCCCUGUGCAUAUGCAUAGUUUCCUGGUCAUUCGGGGUCUGUGGAGAGAUUUCAUAGCAUUUCUUUUUUUUUUUUUUUUUUUUUUUUUUUUUGAGACGGAGUCUCGCUCUGUCGCCCAGGCCGGACUGCGGACUGCAGUGGCGCAAUCUCGGCUCACUGCAAGCUCCGCUUCCCGGGUUCAAGCAAUUCUCAUGCCUCAGCCUCCCGAGUAGCUGGGACUGCAGGCGCCUGCCACCAUGCCUGGCUAAUUUUUGUAUUUUUAGUAGAGACGGGGUUUCACCAUGUUGGCCAGGAUGGUCUCGAUCUCCUGACCUCAAGUGAUCCACCCACCUCGGCCUCCCAAACUAUUGGGAUUACAGGUGUGAGCCACCACGCCUGGCCAGUAAAUUUUCAAACUAAAAACUUCUUAAUUCCUUGUUUCCUUUUGGUUGAUUUCCAUAGCCCUGAAAUUGUUUUUCACAAUGUUGCCCAGUUUUGUGGUGAGAAUUUGUCAACCUCUUCACUCUGCAAUAGCCAACAGUCCCACCCUAUAUGUACUUUAUAAAUGCAACCGCACAGUAUAUCCUGUUUUCUACACUAAAAAAGUCUAUAUAUUCUAGAUUUUGUUUGAUUUACAGAUUUGAUAACUGGGCUUUUUUUUUUUUUUUUUUUUUUUUUUUUGAGACGGAGUCUCACUCUGUCACCUGGGCUAGAAUGCAGUGACUCGAUCUUGGCUCACUGCAACCUCCACCUCCCAGCUUCAAGCGAUUCUCCUGCCUCAGCCUCCCGAGUAGGUGGGAUUACAGGCGCCUGCCACUAUGCCCAGCUAAUUUUUUGUAUUUUUAGUAGAGACUGGGUUUCCCCAUGUUGGCCAGGUUGAUCUCGAAUUCCUGACCUCGUGAUUCGCCUGCUUCAGCCUCCCAAAGUGCUAGGAUUACAGGCAUGAGCCACCACGCCCAGCUGAUAACUAGGCUUUUUUUAGUUGAUUUUCUAAAUUCUCACAUUAAACUUUUGGGAUCAUUACCUCCUAUUAAAUAAAAUUUAUAGGAGGCCACUGAUUUGGACUAGGUUCCUGCACUAGACCCCAUCAGACCAAACCAAAAUGGAGUCACUCAUGCUAAAGUUUCAUAUCACCAAACUGAAACUAAGUUGUUUAUCUAACCUUCCAGAUAAAUCAGGGGAGAGAUAAUAGCCAAAUCCUCGAACAGGCCAGUUUUAGCCAGCAUAACAAGGAAAUCCCCCCCCCAGCUUUAACCCUUUCAAGGAAAACAACUUUGAAAUGAUCACUCCAUCUUUUAUUCUUUGAUUCUGCAUUCUUCAGCCUUUUCUUGUCUAUAAAUACUCACUGGCCACAUUGCAGAGCAGAGCUCUCUGAAUCUCUUCAGGUUGUGAGAGCUACCUGAUUCUUGAAUUAUUAUUUGCUCAAAUAAACUCUGUUAAAUUUAUUUUGUCUAAGGUUUUAUUUUAUUAGAUGUAUGGUCAAAAGCAAUGGUUCAAAGGAGAUCCACAUUGAUGAACUCCAGGAUUAACAAGCAAACAGACUGGCUACUCUGCUGAGUUACUUGUGCUCACUGCUUCUCUUUGCACAUUUGGAGGGUGUCACUGAAUACAAUUGGAAACAUUGGUUAUUUUACCAAGGCUUUGGCUGGAGCAUCAUAUUUGAAAAUGUGCAUAGACUACUGGGUUUUUUAGCCUUAUGAAAAGAAGGCCCAGAAACUUUAAAUAUAUUUUAAAGAUCUGAAGAAGAGAAGAAUUCAUCCAAACCUAUUGGCAUUACAGAACAAAAACUGCCCUUUUCCGGAAGCCCUGCAAGCUGAAGCUGGACAACUUAAUCUAGACUUAAAGAGAACUCACCACCACAGCUUACGUAUGGACAACUUUUGUGCCUGUUGCUGUGAGCUGCUCAGACAUCACUGGAAACAUUCAAACUGCAAAAGAUGCUUCAAAGUCAGAUGGACCCACCGGGACCAGCAACUCUUCCGUGGCUCCCACCCAGAAGCCAACUGAGUGCACCAGGACCAGCUUCCACACCCCGAUGGUUGCAUCCCCAACCAAUCAGCAGUACCAAUUCCCUAGUCCUCUGUCUGCCAAACUAUCCUUGCAAAACCCUAGCUUCCACAUUUUCGAGGAGGAUGAUUUGAGUAAUAAUAAAACUCCCAUCUCCCCUUUAGCCAGUUCUCUGUGUAUUAAACUCCUUCUCUUUUGCCAUUCCCCUGUCUUGAAAAAUCUGCUCUCUCUGGGUAGUAGGCAAGAUGAACACAUUGAGCAGUUACCUAAUGAUAAGAAUGUUCAUAUCUGUGCUGCCCAAAGUGGUAGCCAGUAGCCACAUGUGGCUGCUGAGUACUUGAAAUAUGAACAGUGUGGCUGAAGAACUUAGAACUGAGUUUUUAAUUUAAUUGUAAUGGCUAAUGUUUG
rnacentral:lncRNA from 1 species